rnacentral:lncRNA from 1 species
GUUUAAGAAGGUUAAUGUCAGAGAAAGAAUAAUUGGUUGGCUAGGGGCUGGGGCUGUAGGUCAGUGGCAGUGUGCUUGCCUAUCAUGCUAAGGCAUUAGGUUCAGUCCUCAGCACCACAUAAAAAUAAACAAAUAAAAUAAAGGUAUUCUAUCUGACUACAACUACCGAAAAAAAAUUUUUUAAAGAAUCAUUGGUACCACCCAGGCCCUAAACAACUACGUAAGAAUGACAUUGCCAUCAAUGAACUCAUGAAAACAUACUGCCCUAACUCAGUAUUGGUCAUUAUCAUGCAAAGCCAAAGAACCUGGGGCUGCCCACAGAAACAUAUAUUUCAGGCGAAGAAGUUCAUGAUGAUAGAACUCCAACCUUGAAAACAUUUGAGCAUGUGACUGGGAAAAUUGGAGCAGAAGAAGCUAAGGAAGUUGGGGUUGAACACUUAUUGUGAAACAUCAAAGACGGUACAGUGGGCAGUCUUUCCAAGUGGAUCACAAAUCAGGGCCAUGGUUUGAAGGGACUGAACUCCAAGUUUCUAGAUAUCAGGAGCUACUUGGAAAAAGUAGCCACAGGCAAGCUGCCCAUCAACCACCAGAUCAUCUACCAGCUGCAGGACAUCUUCAACCUGCUGCCUGAUGUCAGCCUGCAGGAGUUUGUCAAGGCCUUUUACCUGAAGACUAAUGACCAGAUGAUGAUGGUGUACUUGGCCUCGCUGACCCGCUCCGUAGUUGCCCUGCACAACCUCAUUAACAACAAGAUUGCCAACCGGGAUGUAGAGAAGAAAGAAGGGCAGGAAAAAGAAGAGAGCAAAAGGAUAGGAAAGAUGACAAAGAGAAGAGAAAGAUAAGGAAAAGAGUGAUGUGAAGAAAGAAGAGAAAAAGGAGAAAAAGUAAAACGUGUAGCUUUUUUUAAUUUGUAAAUUAAAAUCUUAUAAACUAAAUCAAUGUGCCACUAGAGGGUUCUUUUUCACUUUCAGUGCUUAUUAAAAGGCUGUCCUGAUGAGAGCUCUCUGCCUCCAAUCAUUCUUGCUGUGGCAUUAUGUGAUGUAAAUGACAGAGGGACUGAUCUCCAACUCAGACUGCAGCCUCAGCUGCUGUGCAUUGGGAAUUAUGAUAGCUCAGGCUUCAGAUCAUGUGAGAAAAGUGAAAAGACAACAACAUAAUAUUUUUGGUACUCUUCAUUCUUUAUAAACAAGAGUUGAAUUUUCCCCUUCUUGAGAGAUUCUUGGGGGGUCUUUUUCUGAUAAUUGGCAAAAUUGCUAAAUGGAAUGUGUGGAUCCUGUAUGUUCUCUGGCUUGUAAAUCUUGAGUUCUGACACUUCUGAACUCUUGAGAACCACACUACAUUUUGGACCUGCAGUUCUGCAGUCUCACGACCUAGGGUCCAGCUUCAUGUGUUGUUUACCUUCAAAGACACAAUUAAAUGCUUUUUUAUAAA